GUGAGGAAUUUUGCGCAAUGGCCGCAAGGCUGACGCAGCAACGCCGCGUGGGUGAUGAAGGCCUUCGGGUCGUAAAGCCCUGUCAGGUGGGAAGAAAGGCUUGGAGAAGCAACGCUUUGAGUUUGACGGUACCACCAGAGGAAGCACCGGCUAACUCCGUGCCAGCAGCCGCGGUAAUACGGAGGGUGCGAGCGUUAUUCGGAAUUACUGGGCGUAAAGCGCGUGUAGGCGGGGAUGCAAGUCUGAUGUGAAAGCCCUGGGCUUAACCUGGGAAGUGCAUUGGAAACUGCAUUUCUUGAGUACUGGAGAGGAAGGGGGAAUUCCCGGUGUAGAGGUGAAAUUCGUAGAGAUCGGGAGGAAUACCAGUGGCGUAGGCGCCCUUCUGGACGGUAACUGACGCUGAGACGCGAAAGCGUGGGGAGCAAACAGGAUUAGAAACCCUAGUAGUCC
rnacentral:rRNA from 1 species